AGUGAACGCUGGCGGUAGGCCUAACACAUGCAAGUCGAACGGCAGCACAGUAAGAGCUUGCUCUUACGGGUGGCGAGUGGCGGACGGGUGAGGAAUACAUCGGAAUCUACUUUUUCGUGGGGGAUAACGUAGGGAAACUUACGCUAAUACCGCAUACGACCUACGGGUGAAAGCAGGGGAUCUUCGGACCUUGCGCGAUUGAAUGAGCCGAUGUCGGAUUAGCUAGUUGGCGGGGUAAAGGCCCACCAAGGCGACGAUCCGUAGCUGGUCUGAGAGGAUGAUCAGCCACACUGGAACUGAGACACGGUCCAGACUCCUACGGGAGGCAGCAGUGGGGAAUAUUGGACAAUGGGCGCAAGCCUGAUCCAGCCAUACCGCGUGGGUGAAGAAGGCCUCCGGGUUGUAAAGCCCUUUUGUUGGGAAAGAAAAGCAGCAGGUUAAUACCCCGCUGUUCUGACGGUGCCCAAAGAAUAAGCACCGGCUAACUUCGUG
rnacentral:rRNA from 1 species